rnacentral:rRNA from 1 species
AGAGGCAAAGCCGCGAGGUGGAGCAAAUCUCAAAAAGCCGUCCCAGUUCGGAUUGCAGGCUGCAACCCGCCUGCAUGAAGUUGGAAUCGCUAGUAAUCGCGGAUCAGCAUGCCGCGGUGAAUACGUUCCCGGGCCUUGUACACACCGCCCGUCACACCAUGAGAGUCGGGAACACCCGAAGUCCGUAGCCUAACCGCAAGGGGGGCGCGGCCGAAGGUGGGUUCGAUAAUUGGGGUGAAGUCGUAACAAGGUAUC